AGCGUCCACUCGGGUCAGGACAGAUGUGGACACUCACCAUGGAGCGUGGGCUGAGCUGGCUGCUCCUCCUGGCUCUUCUAGGGGGUGUCCAGUGUGAGAAGCUGGUGGAGUCGGGGGAGACUUGGUGCAGACUAGGGGGUUCUCUCAGACUCUCCUGUACAACCUCCGGAUUCACCAUCAGUAGUUACGGCAUGAGCUGGGUCCACCAGGCCCCAGGGAAGGGGCUACUGUGGGUUGCACACAUCAGUUAUAGUGGUGGUAGCUUAUACUACGCGGACGCCGUGAAGGGCCGAUUCACCAUCUCCAGAGACAACGGCAAGAACUCGCUGUAUCUGCAGAUGAACAGCCUGAAGCCCGAGGACACAGCCUUGUAUUACUGUGCAAGACACACAGUGAGGGGAGCAGGUGUGAGCCCAGACACAAACCCUGCAGGGACAGGAGGGUGCUGGGCAUGUUUUCUGGGGUGUUAUUCUUCACAACAAAUCUCCCUGUGCUGUGCGUGUGA